CUCACUUCCAAUGGAAUUACCUGAGACUUAGAACUGAAUUACUGAGAGGGAAAAGCAUUUGAAGAACACCUGAAGAGGAAGUCAAGCCUCUUUUCCCACACUUAAAGGAAAGAAAAAGGAAGAACACUGGAGAAGCAGGAUAUCUCACAAUACCACAGAUGACAACCUGCUUCACAGUAUUGGUAACAUUCAUCUAGACAACUUCAGACUCCCAGUGUCAAUAGAAAAUUGACCCAGCACAGAGAAGAUGGUUGCAAUGAAAUUUCUCCCUGUGUCCAUCCUUGAGGAAUCUCACUUUCUACCCAGGAGUACUCAUCUUAGAGGUUCCUCUACUAUCAGUGGUCGGUGCUGCCUUUCCCACAAUUGGAGGCCUGUGAUCUUCGGCCAAGGACAUACUGAUGCGGUCUUUGUGGAAUCAAGCAUUUAUCUGUAGGGAGUUAAUUUCAAGGCUAGAACACACACUAAAAUCAAAGGCCUAUUGUCUUUAAAAAAUAAAAUUAAAAUAUGCAAGAA